rnacentral:tRNA from 1 species
GGUUCAGUAGCUUAGUUAGUAAAGCACUUGUCUAGCGCGAACAAGGGUCGUGAGUUUAAAUAUCACCUGCGCUG